ACUCCUACGGGAGGCAGCAGUGGGGAAUUAUUGCACAAUGGGCGCAAGCCUGAUGCAGCCAUGCCGCGUGUAUGAAGAAGGCCUUUCGGGUUGUAAAGUAACUUUCAGCAGUGAGGAAGGUGGUGUGUUAAUAGCAUACUCAUUUGACGUUAGCUGCAGAAGAAGCACCGGCUAACUCCGUGCCAGCAGCCGCGGUAAUACGGAGGGUGCGAGCGUUAAUCGGAAUUACUGGGCGUAAAGCGCAUGCAGGUGGUUUU
rnacentral:rRNA from 1 species